GCCAGCCCGACCCUGCCAGCCCGCUCCCGCAGCCGCUCCCGAGCCCGCUCCCGCAGCCGCUCCUGCACCCGCCAUGUGUCUGGAAAGCGACGGCUCCUCCGGGAGCAGCCCUGGCUGCGGCGGGCGGCUCCGAGCCGGCGACGAGGAGGAGGAAGAGGAGGGCGAGCGGGGCUGCUGCGGCCGGAGCGCCGAGCGCGAGGUGCAGACCCUGUCGGGCAGGAUGAACCCUCCGCCCGCCGGCAAGCACCCCGAGCGCCCGGUCCCCCGGCACAAGGUGCCGAGCCUCGGCCGGGCCCGGGUGGCGGCUGCCGGCAUCCUCAGCGUGGGCAACGUGCUCAACUACCUGGACCGGUACACGGUGGCAGGUGUGUUACUAGACAUCCAGCAGCACUUUGGAGUCAAAGACAGUGGAGCUGGCUUAUUACAGACAGUUUUCAUCUGCAGUUUCAUGGUUGCAGCACCUAUCUUUGGUUACCUGGGUGACCGUUUCAACAGGAAGAUCAUUCUCAGCUGUGGCAUCUUCUUUUGGUCAGCUGUCACUUUUUCAAGCUCCUUCAUCACUGAAAAGUAUUUCUGGCUGCUUGUGCUCUCACGAGGUCUGGUUGGCAUCGGUGAAGCAAGUUACUCCACUAUUGCACCCACCAUCAUAGGAGACCUUUUCACCAAAAACACUAGGACCCUCAUGCUGUCUGUUUUCUACUUUGCAAUUCCUCUCGGCAGUGGCUUGGGGUACAUCACGGGGUCAAGUGUGAAGCAGGUUGCUGGAGACUGGCACUGGGCACUGCGGGUAUCUCCACUCUUGGGAAUGAUAACAGGGACACUCAUCUUGAUAUUUGUACCUGCUGCUAAAAGAGGAAAUGUUGAACAACUUGGGGGACAGCUGAAGGCUCGGACCUCGUGGCUAAGAGACAUGAAAGCACUAAUUAGAAACCGCAGCUACGUGUUCUCCUCGUUGGCCACCUCAGCUGUCUCCUUUGCCACAGGGGCACUUGGCAUGUGGAUCCCUCUCUACCUUCACAGAGCACAGGUGGUGCAGAAGACGGCAGAGACCUGCAGCUCACCGCCCUGUGGCACCAAAGAUAGCUUGAUCUUUGGAGCCAUCACCUGCUUCACUGGUUUCCUGGGUGUGAUCACAGGGGCUGGGGCAACCAAAUGGUGCCGGUUAAAAACCCAGCGAGCUGAUCCUCUUGUCUGUGCUGUUGGCAUGCUUGGAUCAGCCAUCUUCAUCUGUCUGAUCUUCGUGGCUGCCAAGAGCAGCAUUGUGGGAGCCUAUAUUUGCAUUUUUAUCGGAGAAACUCUUCUGUUUUCAAACUGGGCAAUCACAGCAGACAUACUAAUGUACGUGGUGAUCCCGACCCGCCGUGCGACCGCAGUGGCCUUGCAGAGCUUCACUUCACACCUCCUGGGAGAUGCUGGCAGCCCUUACCUGAUUGGAUUUAUCUCAGACCUGAUCCGGCAAAGCACCAAGGAGUCCCCAGUCUGGGAGUUCCUCAGCCUGGGUUAUGCCCUCAUGCUCUGCCCCUUUGUCAUUGUCCUAGGAGGGAUGUUUUUCCUGGCCACAGCCCUCUUCUUCCUCAGUGACCGAGCCAAAGCGGAACAACAUAAAGAAACCGAUUCGGACCAGCUCACGGUUGGCAACUACAGUAAUUCAGAAGACGCUUCCACAUGACAUACAAACUCCUGGGGGUGAAUCAGUUUGUGAUGCCACCAGCUUCUGUGAAAGUCUGAGAUGUUGCCAGUGAAGGAAAUGACAUGUGGACUCCUGCUCCCACCACACCAAUCUCAAGCUCAAGAGCUCUUCCAUACUGGAAACCAGUGGAUCCUUCAGCUCCACACCACCCUGGGAGGGUUAUCCAGCACCAAAUCAAGCCCACCACUCCAGCCUGCAGGGUUAGGCACCAGGGGAUGAGCAGGGCAGCCUGGAACACAAGUACUUCUGGAGCAGAAGGACGUGCACAAGUUCCUCUUGAGCAUGAAAAGUGACUUGUCCACUGGACCCACAACCUGCUGCCCAAGUGAGUGACUGUAGAUUGUGUAUAUGGUUCUAGUUGUAGCCAACAAAGUCCACACCUGUUAAGGGCAACUCCUGUCCUGCUGAAUGCUGCUGUUGUGUCAGCACUCCCACACCCAGAGACUGCACUAGUUGGGGACCUGUUCUGUACAUCACCUUUUCUUUAACACUGAAGGUUCAUGUCAGAUUAUUAUUUUUUAUUUAAGUAUGUCAUAAAAUGCUUUAUCUCUGCUGAAGACAUUAGAGGACAGAUAUCUAUAUCUAUAUAUAUAUAUUUAGAUAAAACAGUUUUUAUUUAAACAUUCCAAAGCUGGAGCUGCCUGUGCAACCAUCCAGCCAUGAGGCACGUCCACAGCUCUCCUCACCUCAGUGCCCUGGUUCCAGGCCCUGCAAGGCCACUGCAGGAGAACUUCCAGUGGUCAACGACCUGUCACCUGGGCAAUGGGGCAGAGGAGAGAGCUUCACUGCACUGGGUAUGCUGGUGGUUGUUACAGAAAGCCCAGAACUUUGGACAGAAGUACCACUGGGGGCUCUAGAGUUUGCUCAAGAUGCUGAAUUCAGCCUUUCCUAGGAGGUUCACAGGUUGUUUUUUUUUAAAUACCAAAAUCCAUUGGGCUGAAGUGCUUGCCCUAGGGCCUGGUAGUGCAAUACUGCUGUGCCAGUGACUCCAUGCUUUGUUUACAUGCAUAUCAUACAUGUUGUCAGUGCUAACUCCCCCCUCUCAGCAUUCCCAAAGCCUGGCUCCCUGAGCAGUGCUCAGGAUCCCUGUGUGCCCAGCCCUGCCUCCUCCUGGGGGGGUUCAGCUGCUCACUUCUACCUUUAGGAAGAUGCAUUUGAGACCUGGCAUGUCCCAGGCCAGUGUGGGAGCUCUCUUAGGCUCAACUGCAGCACAUGUCUAGAGCAGAGCCCCAUUUCCCUGCUCUUGCACCUGCCCUUGGUCCUCACCAGCCCAAGUUCUGCUGUGUCAGGUGAGCACAGGCCCUGGGGAGGAGCUGGGCUGCCAGAGAAGGGAUCUGCCUCAGUCACCUCCUCACUCCCUUUCUUUGUAGGUGUCUCCCACAGUUUAGAUACUCCCCUCCAGCUCAGCACACACCUCAGGCAGGUGAAUGCACCUGCCUCUUGUGCUCAUGUUCAACUGCAGUUGGGCUGCAAGCAGGAACAAAUCAGCAAAGGAAAUGCCAGACUGGGAGGGGAUGGGAUUUCAGCCUGGAAACUGGCUGUCCUGACUGUGGUUGGUUUGUCUGGAGGCACAGGAAGGUACUGGUAGUAAAUCUGAGGUAUUAUCUCCCAUUCACUGCCUGGAUGUGCUAGGAACUGGAGUGCAGCACUGCAGGGGAGAGGGCUGGUAAUUCCAGUUACCAGUGAACUGGUCAAUAAAUACCACACAGCCAGUCUCUGUCCAGACAGGUGUGUUUGGAGGGAACAGUGUGAGCCUUUCCUCCCCACCAACCUCCCCAGGGCUCUUCUGCAAAGGUUGCUCUGUCACCUAAACCACUUGAACAUUAGUUUUAGAUUUGGCUGAACAAGCAGAACUUUUCCUCGAGUGCUUGAGCAUCCUCUGGAGAACAGCAAGUGGGUGCUAGGAAUAACAAAGCAAAGCUAUCCAGAACAAUGUUUCAUUUCCCACCUCGUGCCACUAUUUACAUUCCUAGGGGAAGUAACAGCCUCUGUACUCCAGGAGCCAAACACUGGGCUUUAAAGGCACAUGAAGUUCUGAUUCCCAUUAAGAAAUUCCUCCUUAAGCUGUUUAAAAAGAAACAAAAAGCCACCCACCAACCAGUCAGUUCAUCUCAGAGACCAAAGAUUAGCCCAAUUUCCUAAGUUGCUUUUCUGAGAAGACUCUGUUGUAGCAGUUCUUGUCAACACAUGGAAGCAUUCCUGCUGAAGUUCAGAGGUUAAGAGUUGUCCUUCAACUUAAAAGGGAACUUAAGUGUUUUUGUAAAUGCACUUGCUUGUGACAAGCCCUGUCCUCGUUAGAGCAGCAGUGGCAGGAGGCAGCUCAAGGUGCACAUGAGGGGCACUGCUGUGGCUUUGGAGCAAGGAAAGAGGGAAGGCAGCAAGCAAGGGAGAGGGGAGAACCUGCAGCAGUUCCACCCCAAGGGAUCCCUGAAUCCCUGCUCCCUCACAUGCCAGGCUCAGAGAGGGAAGCCAAAGCAGCAGCUAUGACAGCUCAGAGAUGGAACAGAAGGGAAAGGGAACAGCCUUUCCCCCUCCUGCAGAUGCUGCUGCUCCUUCAGCUGUUGCUGGCCCAUGUUUUGAGUGGCCAGGAGCUGAAAGGCUGCACUUCUUGUUGGGUGUUUCUUGGUUUAGCUGUGCAGAAUUGCUCAGUUAGAGCUGCUAUAAAGGUAGUUGGUCUGUCAGAGGAAACCAGUUCACUGAGAUCAAGGCUCUGCAGAUUGAGGCAAUCAGAGGUACCUCAAGUCUGGACAUGAACAUUAUUACUGGUCAGAAACUGGACCUGUGUUGCCAUGGAAGCCCCAUCCCUGGCUUCUAACACUGUUCCUGUGCCAGGACAGUUUCUGCACCCUCCGUCCUACCUGUUUGUUUGCUUCUCCACCUGCUUCAUUGUUUGGCAAACCAGCACUUACCAUCACUUUUGCUACGUGAUGUAUGGGAGUAUAAUGUGGAUUUUCUUGUUAUACAAGGGAGGAAUAUAAAAUAGUUUUCUGAUUUCUUUCAGAAGGAAAUGACUAUUUUAUUUUUUAAGAGCAAUCGAUUGUGAAUCUCAGAGUAUAAAGAAGAGAAUUAAGCCAAAUAUAUACCUUUAUGUAAAUUAAGGAAUAAAAGUAUUUAAAACAUA